rnacentral:rRNA from 1 species
GCUAGGAUUAACGCUGGCGGCGUGCCUAACACAUGCAAGUCGAACGGAAUAUCUUCGGAUAUUUAGUGGCGAACGGGUGAGUAAAGUACAGGUAAUGUACCUCCGUACUGCGAAUAACAAGCUGAAAAGUUUGCUAAUACGGAAUAGCUUCUUCGAGAGGCAUCUUUUGAAGAAUAAAGAUUUAUCGUGCGGAGAUCAGCCUGUAUCCUAUUAGUUAGUUGGUGGGGUAAUGGCCUACCAAGACGACGAUGGGUAACUGGUCUGAGAGGAUGAGCAGUCACAUUGGAACUGAGAUACGGUCCAAACUCCUACGGGAGGCAGCAGUGAGGAAUUUUGCGCAAUGGGGGAAACCCUGACGCCAGCAACGCCGCGUGAGUGAUGACGGCCUUCGGGUUGUAAAGCUCUGUCGUGUAUGACGAGUAGGGACGGUAAUACACAAGGAAGCCUCGGCUAACUACGUGCCAGCCGCCGC